rnacentral:rRNA from 1 species
UACAGAGGUCCCAAGCGUUGUUCGGAUUCAUUGGGCGUAAAGGGUGCGUAGGCGGCGCGGUAAGUCGGGUGUGAAAUCUCGGGGCUUAACUCCGAAACUGCAUUCGAUACUGCCGUGCUUGAGGACUGGAGAGGAGACUGGAAUUUACGGUGUAGCGGUGAAAUGCGUAGAUAUCGGGAAGAACACCCGUGGCGAAGGCGGCUCUCUGGGACGGUACUGACGCUGAGACGCGAAAGCGUGGGGAGCGAACAGG